rnacentral:rRNA from 1 species
GAUGAACGCUGGCGGCGUGCCUAAUACAUGCAAGUCGAGCGAACAGAUAAGGAGCUUGCUCCUUUGACGUUAGCGGCGGACGGGUGAGUAACACGUGGGUAACCUACCUAUAAGACUGGGAUAACUUCGGGAAACCGGAGCUCAUACCGGAUAAUAUUUCGAACCGCAUGGUUCGAUAGUGAAAGAUGGAUUUGCUAUCACUUAUAGAUGGACCCGCGCCGUAUUAGCUAGUUGGUAAGGUAACGGCUUACCAAGGCGACGAUACGUAGCCGACCUGAGAGGGUGAUCGGCCACACUGGAACUGAGACACGGUCCAGACUCCUACGGGAGGCAGCAGUAGGGAAUCUUCCGCAAAGGGCGAAAGCCUGACGGAGCAACGCCGCGUGAGUGAUGAAGGUCUUCGGAUCGUAAAACUCUGUUAUUAGGGAAGAACAUACGUGUAAGUAACUGUGCACGUCUUGACGGUACCUAAUCAGAAAGCCACGGCUAACUACGUG